GAUGAACGCUGGCGGCGUGCCUAAUACAUGCAAGUCGAGCGAACGGACGAGAAGCUUGCUUCUCUGAUGUUAGCGGCGGACGGGUGAGUAACACGUGGAUAACCUACCUAUAAGACUGGGAUAACUUCGGGAAACCGGAGCUAAUACCGGAUAAUAUUUUGAACCGCAUGGUUCAAAAGUGAAAGACGGUCUUGCUGUCACUUAUAGAUGGAUCCGCGCUGCAUUAGCUAGUUGGUAAGGUAACGGCUUACCAAGGCAACGAUGCAUAGCCGACCUGAGAGGGUGAUCGGCCACACUGGAACUGAGACACGGUCCAGACUCCUACGGGAGGCAGCAGUAGGGAAUCUUCCGCAAUGGGCGAAAGCCUGACGGAGCAACGCCGCGUGAGUGAUGAAGGUCUUCGGAUCGUAAAACUCUGUUAUUAGGGAAGAACAUAUGUGUAAGUAACUGUGCACAUCUUGACGGUACCUAAUCAGAAAGCCACGGCUAACUACGUGCCAGCAGCCGCGGUAAUACGUAGGUGGCAAGCGUUAUCCGGAAUUAUUGGGCGUAAAGCGCGCGUAGGCGGUUUUUUAAGUCUGAUGUGAAAGCCCACGGCUCAACCGUGGAGGGUCAUUGGGAACUGGAAAACUUGAGUGCAGAAGAGGAAAGUGGAAUUCCAUGUGUAGCGGUGAAAUGCGCAGAGAUAUGGAGGAACACCAGUGGCGAAGGCGACUUUCUGGUCUGUAACUGACGCUGAUGUGCGAAAGCGUGGGGAUCAAACAGGAUUAGAUACCCUGGUAGUCCACGCCGUAAACGAUGAGUGCUAAGUGUUAGGGGGUUUCCGCCCCUUAGUGCUGCAGCUAACGCAUUAAGCACUCCGCCUGGGGAGUACGACCGCAAGGUUGAAACUCAAAGGAAUUGACGGGGACCCGCACAAGCGGUGGAGCAUGUGGUUUAAUUCGAAGCAACGCGAAGAACCUUACCAAAUCUUGACAUCCUUUGACAACUCUAGAGAUAGAGCUUUCCCCUUCGGGGGACAAAGUGACAGGUGGUGCAUGGUUGUCGUCAGCUCGUGUCGUGAGAUGUUGGGUUAAGUCCCGCAACGAGCGCAACCCUUAAGCUUAGUUGCCAUCAUUAAGUUGGGCACUCUAAGUUGACUGCCGGUGACAAACCGGAGGAAGGUGGGGAUGACGUCAAAUCAUCAUGCCCCUUAUGAUUUGGGCUACACACGUGCUACAAUGGACAAUACAAAGGGCAGCGAAACCGCGAGGUCAAGCAAAUCCCAUAAAGUUGUUCUCAGUUCGGAUUGUAGUCUGCAACUCGACUACAUGAAGCUGGAAUCGCUAGUAAUCGUAGAUCAGCAUGCUACGGUGAAUACGUUCCCGGGUCU
rnacentral:rRNA from 1 species